GGGGAUGGAUAUGGGUAGCUAGGAAAACUGUGCAAUUGGCACAAAACCACUCUAAUACCAACUAACAGAUUCAAAUAGUAGAAGUGGAAUUGAUAGAGUAGGAAAUAUUAGAUAUUGUUCUAGUAUUGGCCAAGGUAACGCGGUUAGCUUACGUUCUAAUUGAAGCGUGAGUAGAUCUUAAUCUAACAAUGACUCAAUGAGAUUUUAA
rnacentral:lncRNA from 1 species